GUUAUGAUUAUUUAUCUCCUUUUCAUAUUGGUGGUUUUCUUCUGUCCUUUUGUCUUUGAAAACUGUGUUUUAUAUCUGGAGAAUUUAGAGAAAUGUAUAAUAACUUAAUUUGUUCUGCCAGACAUUUGUUGCUUCCCCUGAGGAUACAAAGAUUGAUUUGAACCCUCAGAAAAUACGCUUUCUGCCCAUAUACCAGCGUUUCUUUGUAAUGAAGAUUCAUGGCUGGCAUAGCGUAUUCAGAAUCUAGGAUGUAUAUAGGCAUUUCAUUCUUGGUAAGUCUGUCGAUGGCAUUUCUUUCAUUUCUAUAGAGAAUACAUGGUUGUUAGAAAUAUAUUUUGAUUAUCUGCAAUGUAUGGAACUACUUUUAACUAUACUAUUUCUUACUGAAAUACUCUUGUCAUUAUCUCAGAAGGCUGAAAGGUCAUGAGUUUGAUAACGAAUUUUCAGUUUUUUGAAGUUAUUCUCUGUAAAAUCAUUAGUCUAUUAGGGUCCAUAACACUAUUCCUUGCAUUGAUCAUGAAUUCCCUGCUUUAUGUGAAAAGAAAUUAGACAUUCUCUUGGGCUUUUUUUGGGAUUUAUGAGGGGAAAGAAAGGGAGGGAAGUUUCCCUUGUUUGGGGGAAUGCUUUUGGAGGAGAGGGGAAAAGAAGGCUUAUGGGUAAUAUUUUGCUUGUUUUGAUGAGUGUUGUACAAAGAGGCUAAGAGGGAAAGGAUUUAGAGAUUUUUUUUACACCCUCUAAACUAUUCCCCCAAUUCAUUUUUUUCAAUUCCUCCAAAUUGGUGGUUUUGAAGAAAUAUAGACUCUCAUAAAAGGUAGGGAGCUAUCCUCCGUUCUUCCUCCCUUUCACCCCAAAAUCAUUCCCCCUCUUUCCUUCCUAAAUCCCAAACAAAGGCAAGGUCUUGCUCAUUAAGCCUCUAUGUCGGUAAUGGCAUGACUAGUAUAAUAAAAAAUAGGCCAUCAUCAUCCUAGAUGGGCCCACAAUGUGAGUCUGGAUGAACCAUUUUUAAGAAGUGUUGCCUGUUUGAUUCAUUACGUGCUGCAGUUAUGUGCCUCUCUAACAGUCAUUUAACCCCUUGACUAGUUUUAUUAGUUAUGCCACCUGAAUUAUUGAAAAAUAUUAGUAAAUAGCCCCUGAAGUUUUCCCCAAUCAAUCCUGUUAAUCCCUCAAUUAGUCUGUGUCAUUUUACUGCUUCUAAUUGUCAUGUUAGCACUCCAUCUCUAUGUGAAAUCAAGUCAGACCCUUUCUUCCUACAUGUUUGUUAUAUACAUAAAAAAAUACAUCAAAUUAAUCCUUACCAGAUCCUCUCUUUCUAAAUGGUUUUUUUUAACAGUAAAGCAUCUAUUAGAUUAGAAAAUAAUCAAAUUCAUUACAAACGAUAGGAUAAAUCUAGUGUGCGAGACUCCCCACCCCUGUUCCAGAACCUACUUGUUGCUUCAGACAAAGACACAUGCCUAUUAAAGGUGUAGUUUAAAUCAAGCUUGUAGGAAUUAAUGUAGUCCAUGUAGCACUUGAAAACAACCCUUGUAGCUAACUGUAACUAACUAACUAACUGGCAGGUGUCAGUUAGUUAUACUCUCCUAGCCUCCUUGAACACUGUUUGUAGCUUCCAUAAUAUCAAAACAAAAGAAAAUUAGGAUUUAUAAUUCAAUAGAUUGACUUGCAGUCUCCACGCAAACUUUUCCAUAACAUAGAUGAGUUACCUAUCCGUCACUGUUGGCGCUUUCGUCGUCUUGGUCGCAUUCGUCCUCUUUCUCUUCAAUUUCUGAGAAAUUGGACUCUGAAAAUUACCUCUUAUUUUGUCAACAGGUAGAACCUGUAUUGAAACUUUGCAAUAUUCCUUUCUCAAGUAAAAGUACUUCUGAGUUUUGCACUUGUUUGGGAAUAGAACUCAUGCGCAUAGGCUUCCCUCUCAUUCAUCCAUUACCAGAUACAGUCCCCCUCUAGAAUUAAUAUACAGUGGCCUGUGGGGCCCUGCUCCCUUUACCUCUACUACUGAAUUUAUAUAUUACAUUACCUUUGGUGAUGCAUUCAGUAGAUUUAAUUGGAUUUAUCUUCUCAAACAAAACAAAAAAACUGAUGCUUUUUCUAUCUUUCAACAAUUCAAAACCAUGGUUUAUCAGUUCUCAUAAAAUCAAAUAUGUCCAAACUGAUUAGGGUGGUGAAUUUCAACCAUUCACGAAAUUCCUAAACUAGUGUGGUAUUAUACACCAUCUUAUUUGUCCUCACUCCUCACCAAAAUGGUGUUGUUGAGCGAAAACACAGACAAAUUGUUGAACUUGGCGUUAUCUUACUUGCCCAGGCAGCUCUGCUCCUUGCCUAUUGGUAUUAUGCAUUUCUCACCAGUAUGUACCUCAUCAACAGACUUCCCACUUCAACUCUCAGUUUUGAAGUGUCUUACACCACACCCUUCAAAAAAUCAGCCUUACUGUUUUCCUUUGCUUGGGCCAUACAACAAUCAUAAGUUGCAAUUCAGGUCACAUAAGUUCUUUUUCCUUAUUCCACUUUCCAUAAAGGCCAUAAGUGCUUAUCCCAAGAUGACUGCAUUUAAAUCUCUAGGGAUGUAUUAUUUAAUUAUAACAUAGAUUCCCAUGCCUUGAAUUAUUUUCCUCAAAAUUAUUUCACCUCCUCAACCACUACCCCUGCUUCUAUCCCAACUGUACCCUCACUCUCUCCUUCUCCCAAGGCAACCAUUCCCAGCACUAUUAACUAUGGUUCUCCAGUUCAGUCUCUCAUUUACUCUCCCGAAGAGUUUUAUUUUUAAUUUUGAAAAGGUGUAAAAUCUGUCUGUUAAUAAAAAACUGCCUCUGUGCGAGAGGAACAGCACCUAAAGCACUGCAUGUAAGUUUUGUUCUAUUUUUUAUAUAGGAACAGUAUAUACCGUUGUAAUUAGUGUUGCUGAUUUUAUAUUGAUUUAUUUCAGAGUCUAUAUAAUAGAGUCUCCGUGGUGUAGUUGAGUCACAUGGUUUCACCAUAUGUUUUAAUCCGGCACACUUUGACUAUAUGAAUCUUCUGACUUAUCAAUGUUUACAACUUGGCCUGAAGUGCUCUGGCAGGUCCCAAGAAUAUUUAAAAUGGAGGCAGCCUCUUUCUAGUUGACCCUUACAAAUAACUGACUAUAACUACAAACUGCAAGUGUGAUAUUUGGGAUGCAUUCCAAGCCGCCUUAAUACCAUGGAUCUUUCCCAAUCCCACCUCUUUAUGAAUCAUACCAAACAAAACAUUAUCACACAAAAUAAACAAGUUAUGGGACAAAGGGUCACUUUGCCUCAGGCCAAACUCUGGUGAGAAACUUACUCGACUGCCCAUUGAUAAAGAUCUAACAGGAAACAGAAUGAUGCAUUUCGUGAUCACAUUCGUCAAGUGUUUUGGGAAACCCAUUGUGUCAUCCUCCUUUUCUUACCUUUGGUCUUCUUUAGCCAAUGGAAGCAUUCCAUUGCAAUCAAAGCAUUUUCGGUGGUGAGCCUUCCUUUAAUAAAGGCACAUUGUUCUUCAUCAACAAUCUCAGGAAUGAUUCCUUUUAGUUUAUGGGCUACAAUCAGUAACUGUCUUUAUGACCACAUUGCAAAGACUAGGCAAUGAAAGUUUUAUUUAUGCCUCUAGAGAAAUCCCCCUGUUAAGAAUAACUAAAACCGACUACUGAACCUCUUGGCCAACAAUAUUCCAGUACUUCGGAAGAAAAGGGUUGGGAGCCCAUUAUAGCCUUGGUACCUUGAGAAGAUGCAUAUGAUUAAGGUUCUCCUUAAUUCCUUCCUUUGGAAAAGUGGUUGCACAAGACUUUUGAUCCUCACUCCGUCUUCUCCUCACAGCAUCACGGGUCUAAUAUAACUCUGAUGAGAAAGAAGUGGAGAAAACAUAAGAGAAAUGGUUUCUCUUCCUACAUGGUUUCAUGAUUUCUCCUACUGAUUUCUGUUUUUAGGACUGCAAUUUGUGUUUUUUAUAUGACCCUAUCUCCCUACAUGGUUUCAUUAUUUUGGCUACUGGUUUCGGUUUUGGGAACUGGAACUUUUGUUUUCUAUCAGAGCCUAUCUUCCUACAUGGUUUCAUAAUUUUGGCUUCUGGUUCUUGUUUCUACGACUGCAACUUAUGUUUUUUAUAAGACCCUCUUUCUACAUGGUUUCAUAUUUUUACUUCUGGUUUGUGGUUCUGUUUUUAGGACUGCAAUUUCUGUUGUUACAAGUUUCUAGUUAGGACUGCUACUUCUUUUUUUUCUUUUUUAUGGUUUCAUGCUUUUAGACUUCUUAAAACAUGCUUCUAUUUUUACCAAUGGUUCUUUGCUCAGACUGGUUUCAAUGAUUUGCCAAUGGUUCAAAAUUGGGCAGCAUACAUGUAGAGUAUUUUGGUUAUCAACUUUGGUUUCAAUUAUAAGAUGCCUAAUAUAGUAUUAUUGGCAUGUAGAUUUUGACAUGUAGACAUGAAAUAUGCUGCAUAUUUAACAUGACUGAUUAACAUGACUGAUAUACUGCUGUUUUUAAUUCCGCAAUCUACGCAUUAGUGCUUUAUGCACAUGCAUAAUAUUACGCAGUCUGUUUUAUACGACCAUGCACAAACGAAGUGGCUGUGACAUGGUUGGUUAAAAAUUUGUUUGAGCUGAGAUGCCUACCAAAGAAUUAUGCAUCUGGUUUUCAAAUGUUAUAAGAUGCCUUAAUACAUAGGAUUGAUAGACAGCACUUGAAAUAUGCAAAAAAAAAUUUAUUAUACACAUGCAUAGUAUCAUGCAGUCGGUGGUGAUUUAUAUUACAGAUGCACCAAAUAAGUGGUUGGGUCAUGUUAAAAAUCUGUUUGGGCAGAGAUGUGUUAUUUUGUUUCAUACGGAAAAAUAUGAUUAGGGCAAUUUGUAUAUAUUUACAUCGUCCAUUGGUUUUUGCUGGUUUUGUUUUUACAGUAUUUUUACUAGGCUGCUUGUUUAACACGGGUUUAAAAGUUGAUUUUCCAUAAGUUAACAGAUAUUAGAAGUUAUUAAGCUUAAGCAGAAUGCAAUCAAUUUCAAAUUUCAUUCAAGGUGACACAUGCGAUCCCUGUUUUCAAUCUUACAUUGAUGCAUUUUCCUCUUAGGAUGUAACAGUAAUUUGCAAAUAAAAUACAAAGCAAUAUAUCAAUAUCAAUAUCAAUAUCAAUCAAAGAGAUGAAAACAAAGCUGUCAUCAUGGUCUUGUAUUUCUUUUUGAGCUCGAUAAAACAAGCCAAACUGACAAAUGAGACUAAGCUCUCAAAAACAGGUUUUCAAACUGUUAAUAAUAAUCUGGGCUCAUCUGUCAUAACAUUAAAACCUAGCCAAUAACUCUAACUAUAUACAAUACAUACAAAGACUACAAACCCUCAUUGUACACCAAAAUUCACAUUUAUAUUACAAGCAGCUGCAUUUUCAUUUCUGCAGGAUGCGUUCAAUUUACAAGCCUCAACACAUUUCAUACAUACAAACUUGGAAGGCAAGCCGUCAUCAGAACUACCAAUUCCAGC
rnacentral:lncRNA from 1 species